CCUUGGAAUUUUUCAAAUGUCAAAGGGGCAAUCCCUGCACUAUGAUUACUGUAUGAUCUGCACAGUAUGAUCCCUGCAGUUGGAAAAAGAACAUUUUUAAAGACCAAGGUGGCUCCAGAUGUUUUCAAGGCAGCAUCCAGAAGAAAGUUUCAUUUAAAGAAGCAGAAAAUAAAUGAAACCUGGGAUAAUUCAGAAUGAGAGAGCAAAGCAAACACAACCACAGAAGAGGUCAUGCUCCACUCUACUUUUUAUCUUGCCAGCUGAAGAAUAGCACUUCAUGUUGACUUUCAUCUCCUUGGGAUUGCAGCUACAUCUGUGUGGUCAGGUUGGUGCCAUUGUAAAUCUAGAAGUGAGUGGCUGCAUCUUCACACUGUGGAAAACAUGAAACCACUCCUAGUUCUGGUACUUGUCUAAAGGCAGCUUCAGCUCCAUCAAUACGGCUCUGUUCCAUCAGGCUCAACCCGGAUGUGAGAAUACAAGUUUUUGCAGCUACUUGGCAAGGCUAGGUUAACAACCAAGGGUCUGGUUCAGAAACUGUACUGCCACAUAAUUUGGGCACUGUAUCAUGAUAUCCGGCUCUGCCUAAUGGGCUAUACCAGUUCAAGUUCCACAUUAUGUGCAUUUUGGGGAUUCUCAGAAUUCAUCCUAUAUUUCUCUGGCCACUAUGCUGCAUGGCCUAACCUGUUCACCUGGGUACAGCAGAAUCUGUACUCCAGAUUUCUGAUGCAGUGAAGUUUGGGCAACAUUUUCUGCCUGUCCAAUCUUUCAUGUCCUACUUAAUAAACUUUGAAUCCUUUGUUAUGUUUGAAGUAAGACAGACGUAGAGACUUCUCAAACACAUAAAGAUCCUAGAUGUUUUCUGGAGCAGAAAACUGAAAUCAUCUGAACAGAGACACUCUCAUAUUAUUGCCAGCGAAGGAGGCCUCUGAUGUCAGUGACAACUUAAUUUUAUGAUAGACAUCUUAAAAUUUGCAUAUAUGUAGAGUAAGAUGAUAAAGAUUUGGCAAGAUGAUAAAGCUUGGUCUUGAUCUCACUUCAUGUCAGGAAGAACAAUUUUGUUCUUUGAGCAA